UACGUAGGGGGCAAGCGUUGUCCGGAAUCAUUGGGCGUAAAGCGCGCGUAGGCGGCCCGGUAAGUCCGCUCUGAAAGUCCAGGGCUCAACCCUGGAAAGCGGGUGGAUACUGCCGGGCUAGAAUCCGGAAGAGGCGAGUGGAAUUCCUGGUGUAGCGGUGGAAUGCGCAGAUAUCAGGAGGAACACCGGUGGCGAAGGCGGGUCUCUGGGCAUUAACUGACGCUGAGGAGCGAAAGCAUGGGGAGCGAACAGG
rnacentral:rRNA from 1 species